rnacentral:rRNA from 1 species
UGCAAGUCGAACGGACUUAACCAUUAGUUUACUAUUGGAGCGGUUAGUGGCGGACUGGUGAGUAACACGUAAGCAACCUGCCUAUCAGAGGGGAACAACAGUUAGAAAUGACUGCUAAUACCGCAUAUACCCAAGUGCCACAUGGCACAAUGGGGAAAGGAGCAAUCCGCUGAUAGAUGGGCUUGCGUCUGAUUAGCUAGUUGGUGGGGUAACGGCCUACCAAGGCGACGAUCAGUAGCCGGACUGAGAGGUUGAACGGCCACAUUGGGACUGAGAUACGGCCCAGACUCCUACGGGAGGCAGCAGUCGGGAAUAUUGCGCAAUGGAGGAAACUCUGACGCAGUGACGCCGCGUGCAGGAAGAAGGUUUUCGGAUUGUAAACUGCUUUAGACAGGGAAGAAACAAGACAGUACCUGUAGAAUAAGCUCCGGCUAACUACGUGCCAGCAGCCGCGGUAAUACGUAGGGAGCGAGCGUUAUCCGGAUUUAUUGGGUGUAAAGGGUGCGUAGACGGGAAAAUAAGUUAGUUGUGAAAGCCCUCGGCUUAACUGAGGAACUGCAACUAAAACUGUUUUUCUUGAGUACUGGAGAGGAAAGUGGAAUUCCUAGUGUAGCGGUGAAAUGCGUAGAUAUUAGGAGGAACACCAGUGGCGAAGGCGACUUUCUGGACAGAA